CUACGGGUUGCAGCAGUGGGGAAUAUUGCACAAUGGGCGCAAGCCUGAUGCAGCCAUGCCGCGUGUAUGAAGAAGGCCUUCGGGCUGUAAAGUACUUUCAGCGGGGAGGAAGGGAGUAAAGUUAAUACCUUUGCUCAUUGACGUUACCCGCAGAAGAAGCACCGGCUAACUCCGUGCCAGCAGCCGCGGUAAUACGGAGGGUGCAAGCGUUAGUCGGAAUUACUGGGCGUAAAGCGCACGCAGGCGGUUUGUUAAGUCAGAUGUGAAAUCCCCGGGCUCAACCUGGGAACUGCAUCUGAUACUGGCAAGCUUGAGUCUCGUAGAGGGGGGUAGAAUUCCAGGUGUAGCGGUGAAAUGCGUAGAGAUCUGGAGGAAUACCGGUGGCGAAGGCGGCCCCCUGGACGAAGACUGACGCUCAGGUGCGAAAGCGUGGGGAGCAAACAGGAUUAGAUACCCCUGUAGUC
rnacentral:rRNA from 1 species